rnacentral:rRNA from 1 species
GUGGCUCGAGGACGAACGCUGGCGGCGUGCCUAAUACAUGCAAGUCGAACGGUCUUUCUAUGGAAGCUUGCUUCCACUGAGAAGAUAGUGGCGAACGGGUGAGUAACACGUGGGUAACCUGCCCAUAAGAGGGGGAUAACAUCCGGAAACGGGUGCUGAUACCGCAUAGUUUUCUUGAUCGCAUGAUUGAGAAAGGAAAGACGGCCUUUGUGCUGUCGCUUAUGGAUGGACCCGCGGCGUAUUAGUUAGUUGGUGAGGUAACGGCUCACCAAGACGAUGAUACGUAGCCGACCUGAGAGGGUGAUCGGCCACAUUGGGACUGAGACACGGCCCAAACUCCUACGGGAGGCAGCAGUAGGGAAUCUUCCGCAAUGGACGAAAGUCUGACGGAGCAACGCCGCGUGAGUGAAAGAAGGUUUUCGGAUCGUAAAACUCUGUUGUCAGAGAAGAACAAGUUGGAGAGUAACUGCUCCAGCCUUGACGGUAUCUGACCAGAAAGCCACGGCUAACUACGUGCCAGCCGCCGC